UCAUCUGAAAGAUGGGCUCUGAGGAGCUCCCGCAUCCCCAGUACCUCCCCCUUUUGCAGCUUCUCCCCAGCCCUCCCCUCGGGCCCAAACGCUGUUUUGGCCCAGCUUGCAACAAUCAGGGCUUUGCACAAACCCUUCGCUGCCCACCUAGAGACAGGUCCUUUAAAGCUUUACUGAGAUUACCACUUCCCGCAAGAAGCCUUCCCGGAUUCUCAUUCAGUUGGCCCUGUUCAUUUUGUCAAUCAAUAAUUGAGGACCUACUAUGUUCUAGGCUCUGAAUACAAACAGGCCUUCCCUCCCAGAGCUCAGUUUAUGGGGGGCACAGAUACUACACUAGGGAGCUAUGGAAAGUUAAGGAGGGGGUGGGGCAGAAUAAGAGUUGUGUUUCAGUUGUGUUUUAGUUGUGUGGUGGAGAGUGGGGAGGGUAGGUCAGAGAGCGCAAGAAUGGCAGCUCGGGGGGAGACUGGGGAAGCAAUUCUGGAGAGAGAGGACAAGUGGAGAGGGCAGAAGCUGGGAAUGGGAGAAGGGGACAUACUGAAGAGUUAGUCACAGAUGAAAAAAAUAAGACUUGGCACUGGCCAGGUGUGGGGGAUGAAGAGGAAGGAAUACGCUAGUAAGAAUGCAUCCUGAGGACAGGAACCAUGUCACACACACACCUGAACCCCCACCCUGUGGUAGUUGGACUGCCAGCUGGACCCCGAGUUUCCCACAUCUCUAGGGUGCAGAGUAGGCAAGUGACUGCCAACAGGAGGGGGUGGAGGAAUUUGUGCAGCUGCUCAACUGCUGCCUCACUGACAAAGACGUUAGUUGGGAACCUCUCCUACUACCUUUUUUUUUAAAGUAGGCUCCACCAAGGGGCGCCUGGGUGGCUCAGCUGGUUAGGUAGGCUCCUCGACCAAGCCCAACACCAGGCUCGAACUCACUACCCUUAGAUCAAAACCUGAUCUGAGAUCAAGUGUGAGACACUCUGCCAGCUGAGCCACCCAAGUGCCCAUCCUUUUUUUUUAACAACAGCUUUAGUGUGAACUAUAAUUCCCAUGCUAUAAAAUUCACCCUUUCAAAGCGUAAAUUCAGUGAUUUUUAGUAUUUUCAAAGGGCUGUGCAGCCCACAUCACCAUCUAAUAUCAGAACAUUUUCAUCCCUCCAAGAAAAAACCCUGUGCCUAGGAGCAGUCGCUCCCCAUUCCCCCUUCUCCCAGCCCUAGGAAACUAUUAAUCUAUUUUCUGUCUCUAUGGAUUUACCUAUUCUGGGCAUUUCAUAUCAAUGGAAUCAUACAAUAUAUGACCUUUUCGGUGUCUGGCUUCUUUCGUUUAGUGUCCUGUUCUCAAGGUUCGUCUGUGUUGUGGCAUAUGUCAGUACUUUAUUUCUUUUUGACGGCUAAAUAAUAGACAUUCCGCGGACAGCCUGCAUUUAACUCAUCUAUUCUCCUGUGGAUGAACAUUGGAGCUGCUUCCACUUUGUGGCAAUUAUGAAUAAUGCGGCUAUGAACAUUUGGGUACCUACGGCUUUGUGUGGACACAUGUUUUCAGUUAUCUUGAGCAUAUACCUGGGAGUGAAAUACUUGGGCUCUAUGUUAACUCUAUGGUUGACCUUUAAAAACAAAUAAUUAUUUACUUAUGAGAGAGAGAGCACGCACAGGGGGGAGGGCAGAGGGAGAGAGAGAGACAGAAUACCAAGUAGGCUCCCUGCUCAAUGCAGAGCCAAUGAGGGGGAAGGGGAGGCUCAAUCUUAGGACCCUGAGAUCAUGCCCUGAGCUGAAAUCGAGAGUCAGAUGCUCAACUGACCGAGCCACCCAGGCACCUCUAGGAUUAACCUUUUGAAGAACUGCCAGACUGUUUUCCAAAGUGGCUGCACCAUUUUCCAUUCCCACCAGCAAUGGACAAGGGUCCCAGUGUCCCCACAUCCUCACCACUCCUUGCUAUUUCCUAUCUGAUCAUGGCCAUUAGAGUGGUAUGAACCAGUCUCUUAGUGUGGUUCUGAUUUGCAUUUCCCUGGUGACUAAUGACGGUAAACCUCUUCUCAUGUGUUUAUUGGCCAUUUGUGUAUCUUCCUUGGAGAGACAUCUAUGCAAAUCCUUUGCCCAUAUUUAAAUUGGGUGAAUCUUUUUAUUUAUUUUUUAUUUUUAAAUUUUAUUUAUUUAUUUGACAGAGAGAGCACACACAAACAGGGAAGCAGCAGGCAUGGGGGAAAAGGAGAAGCUGGUUCUCUGUUGAGCAGGGAGCCUGAUGCAGGUCUCGAUCCCAGGACCCUGGAAUCAUGACCUGAGCCAAAGGCAGAUGCUUAACUGACUGAGCCACCCAGGCACCCCUAUUUUUUAUUUUUUAAAAAAGAUUUUAUUUAUUUCCUUGAGAGAGAGAGAGAGAACAAGCCAGGGAGGGGCAGAGGGAGGGGGACAAGCAGACUGUGCGGAGCACGGAGCCUGACAUGGGGCUUGACCCCAUCACCCAUGCAAUCAUGACCUGAGCUGAAUGAAACCAAAAGCUGGAUACUUAACAACUGAGACACCCAGGCGCCCUUAGGCUUGAAAACAAGGUCCACAGGGCACAGGACAGAAGAAGGUUGACUGCUUGGACCAGAGCGUCCUCUGCCCAUGAGGCUGCUCGUGUCAGAAUUAUCCAGGAGGGAGACAUAAACCUCUAUCUCCUUUAAGGUGUUGCAUUGCUGGGUCUGUUGCAACGGCUCAGGGGCAUGCUCAGAUCCUGGAUCUCAGGAGCUGUGAGAUCAGCCCUACACUAGUCUGUACUAUCAGCAGGGAGUCAGCUUGAAGAUUCAAUCCCUCUACCCCUCCCCCCACUCGCAUGUGUGCUCACUUUCUCUCAAAUAAAUAUUUUUCUUUU